rnacentral:tRNA from 1 species
UGUGGCUCAGUGGUCCAGCACUGGCCUGGCAGGCCUGAGGCCCUGGGUUCCAUCCCAGCA